AGAGUUUGAUCAUGGCUCAGAAUCAACGCUGGCGGCGUGCCUAACACAUGCAAGUCGAGCGAGAAAGGGGGAGCAAUCCCCUGAGUAAAGCGGCGCACGGGUGAGUAACACGUGGGUAAUCUGCCCUGGAGUGGGGAAUAACACCGGGAAACCGGUGCUAAUACCGCAUACGAUAGCGAGGUCUGCGGACUUUGUUAUGAAAGGAGCAAUUCGCUCUAGGAGGAGCCCGCGGCUGAUUAGCUAGUUGGUGAGGUAAUGGCUCACCAAGGCUACGAUCAGUAUCCGGUCUGAGAGGACGGUCGGACACACUGGAACUGAGACACGGUCCAGACUCCUACGGGAGGCAGCAGUGGGGAAUUUUUGGCAAUGGGGGCAACCCUGACCAAGCAACGCCGCGUGGGUGAUGAAGUCUCUUGGGACGUAAAACCCUUUCGACGGGGAAGAAAACCGCAAGGUUUGACGGUACCCGUAGAAGAAGCCCCGGCUAACUCCGUGCCAGCAGCCGCGGUAAUACGGGGGGGGCAAGCGUUGUUCGGAAUUACUGGGCGUAAAGGGUGCGUAGGCGGUCCGCUAAGUUAGAUGUGAAAACUCUGGGCUCAACCCAGAGCCUGCAUCUAAUACUGACGGGCUAGAGUUCUGGAGGGGGUAGCGGAAUUCCUGGUGUAGCGGUGAAAUGCGUAGAUAUCAGGAGGAACACCGGUGGCGAAGGCGGCUACCUGGACAGAGUCUGACGCUGAGGCACGAAAGCUAGGGGAGCAAACAGGAUUAGAUACCCUAGUAGUCC
rnacentral:rRNA from 1 species